UCAAAUGCAGGUCAUUAGAAGGUUUUGGGCUUCAUUUUCAUGUGAAUGGUAAAAUACGAGGACAGAAGAUGAAGACAAUUGCGGUACUUCUUUGCGCCUUUGCGGAAAUCUACGGUUUCUUGACACGGCAACCUACGGCGCAUGGUGGGGGGUCCGGCGGACGGGGGGAAGCAUCAGGAGCGGGAUCAGUACUGAAAGCAUCAGCAGGAGAGAGAGAGACUCGGAGAAGAUUACGCCGCGUAUAUUCCGCUGCAAAAGCCAUGAUGAUGCAUCGGAUAACAAACUUCUGCCGAAUAAGAUUUCUAUUCAAUUACGAAGGUUCCAAUAAUGCCUAUCACUGUUUUCUUUUUAAUUUCUUGCAGUGAUUUUUUGCCCAGUUCAGCUUAGACUGGAUUUGUUUGGAGCAAAACGAUGGCUGUUGUUUCCAUUGAGAAAAUGAUUGCUCUAAUAUUAGAAGUUAAUAACUCUCACGUUACUUUUUAUUGAAUAAAAAUUCAAUAGAAAAUAUAUUUUGUUAAGCAGAUGGUGGAAGUGUUGUUAUUCUUGUUCUAGAAUGGCUCCUCCAUCUCUCUCUCUCUCUACACAUAUAUUUUAUAUACAUAGAGGAGAGAGAGGCUGCACAUUUUACAUUAAUUCCUUGAAAAUAGAGUUAAUAAUUUUAAUAACAAUGAUAGGUCAUCGAAAUUGAAGACUCGGAACCAUUUAACAUAAUCUACACUAUAACAAAUAGUUAGGAAUCAAAGUUUAUUAUAUUUUGGUAGUCUCUUACCUAUGUAUUGAAUUGAUUAAAAGUAAACAAUAUUAAUUGUAUUGGUAUGGUAAAGUACAUGAUAGGAAAUAUAUAUUAAAAAGUUACUUUACAGAUCAAGGUAUACGUAUUUUAAAAUAAGGACAUAUUUAAAGUCAUUAGAUUUUGAUCAUUAGGUUAUGUAAAGUAUUGUAUCACACUAUUGAAAUGGUCUGUUUUGGCAUCUACUUGACAAUUAAGUUAAAGAGAUCCAAAAUAUAUGAAUUUUAUGUAUUUUUAAAGUCUAGAUCAUGUACAAUGACUUGAUUUUGAACUUUAAUAGUCCAUCAUUAGUUUUGAAUCAUGAAAACGUGCACGCGCACACAUAUAUAUAUAUUUAUUAACCUAUAUAUAUAUACACACACAUAUAUGUAUAUAUAUAUACAUACAUACAUACAUAGAUACAUAGGAUAAGGUUUUCAAAUCAUAUAAUUUUUUGUCAACCAAGAAAUUUAGGUAUAAUAGACCACAUCCAACAGCUUGUGCUAGGUCCCCUUUUCGUCUUGGGAGGACUACUCAUGUGCUAUUGUGUGGGCAUCCUCAUGAUAAUAGCUCUUCUCAUAUGUGUGUAUAUAGGAAGUCUCCUGUUUUUGCAUCAAGUGCGCAUAAAUAAGCGAUAGCAAUAUUUGUGUGAUCUUAAUAAGCAUAACUUUGAUAUCAAUCCAACCCCUCUUUCAGAGUAAAAAAAAAAAUCCAUACUCCUCCCCUAAUUUUUUUCUUAUUUCUUGUACGCAACAAAUCAUUAAUUUCUUCAACCAAGGAAGGUGCCUAAUUACCGAAAAAGACAAUCAAGGGAGGUGUUAACUAUAUGCAUCUGACUUUUGACCCCAAAAGUAUUCGUGAAUCGGCCGAUGCUGAAUAACAAUCUUAAACAUUAUUUGUCAUCUAGAAAGAGAUUGUAUCAUGAGGAUACAGUGAGCUCAAGAUUGUCUAUAACAGGAGAAAACGAAAACUCACCACCUAGAGGCUUGUUUGAUGCUCUUAUAGCUACGGCCGUGGGGAUGAGAGGGCCUCCCGAGACCAGCAGCAUGAUUAAUAGGAGAAGAACCUUCAGAACCAUAUUGUUCUUAGAUAGCUA
rnacentral:lncRNA from 1 species